AAUUUUUGGGGUUGGUUUCUCUUUUUGGGAAGAUUUUUGGGGUUGGUUUCUCUUUUUGGGAAUUUUUGGGAUUGUUUCUCCUUUUGGGAAGGUUUGGGGUUGGUUCUUUUGGGAAUUUUUGGGGUUGGUUUCUCUUUUUGGGAAGGUUUGGGGUUGGUUCUGCUUUUGGGAAUUUUUGGGGUUGUUUCUCCUUUUGGGAAUGUUUGAGGUUGGUUCUUUUGGGAAUUUUUGGGGUUGUUUCUCCUUUUGGGAAGGUUUUUGGGAUUGUUUCUCCUUUUGGGAGUUUUUGGGGUUGUUUCUCCUUUUGGGAAGGUUUGGGGUUG